rnacentral:lncRNA from 1 species
UCUUCCUUCGACMCAGGCACCUCUGGCAUCGUGGAGGAGCCUAUGGGAAGGACUGUCUUUGCUGAUCCACCUAGGCAUGAAGGCACGUGACUGGUUCAUCGUUCAGUACAUGCCCUCAUCUCUCUGGUAGAAGCUCUGCGUUCCCUCGAGAGGACAUCACCAGAGAUGCAACAGCACUGCUGUCCUCAUCCGCGGGGAAGGCUAAAGACGGGAACARUGUCCCAAAGCCWCUUCCCUGUCCUCGCUUCCAUACGUGCACUGCAUCUYGAGUGUGUUAAACCUGAGGUGUCAGCUCACCUGGAGUGGAACCGGACAAGCCCUGCCUGGGGAAAACCUCUGUCACAGUGUUUCCUGCCAGGAAACUUGGAGCUUAGGAGCAACUCUUCUGUGAUUUAUCAGUGACUCACGUGUUUGAGUAAAGCAAAACACACAAAGCCAAGCCCAGCUCAGYGGAAGGAAACAUGGGAUGAGCAAGCCUUGCGUGAUAGCCCAGGAUGCGCGCAUUGCGCUGAGCACGGGAUAAGGUCUCUGCUCGGCCCCCUGUAACUGGUGUUGUAAGAACCGAUCUGGAAACUGCUGACUCUUUCUGUGUUUGUUCACUUGUUAAACUUCAAUAAAUGUAUUAAUCUUAGCUCUUUUGUAUACUUC